GACGAACGCUGGGGGCGUGCCUAAUACAUGCAAGUCGAACGAGCGGCGGACGGGUGACUAAUGCCUGGGAAUAUGCCUUAGUGUGGGGGAUAACUAUUGGAAACGAUAGCUAAUACCGCAUACGCUAAGAUUAGCCCAGGUGAGAUUGGCUAGUUGGUGAGGUAAGAGCUCACCAAGGCGACGAUCUCUAGCUGGUCUGAGGGGAUGAUGAGGCUAACGGGAACUUAGACACGGUGCAGACACUGAAGGGAGGCAUAUGUGGGGAAUAUUGCAGAAUGGGCGAAAGCCUGAUUCAGCCAGUGCACGUGUAUGAAGAAGUCCUUAGGGGUGUAAAGUACUAUCAAGAUGGAAGCGUUACCUACAGAAGAAGCACAGGCGAUCUCCGUGCCAGCAGCCGCGGUAAUAC
rnacentral:rRNA from 1 species